GGCUGCUGUUAUAAAAGACAAGUUGGUUGAUCCAAUUCACAAUUUUAAGUGUAAAUUGGUGGAUAACAAAAAACCGACUUGUAGACUGACAUGAGAUACGCAUUGUCUUAUGCAUUUAUUUUACGAUCUAAUCGAUCGUAAAAAUUUGGGGACUAGGAGCUUUACUUGCUCUUUUAAGAGACACAUGCGCUUGGCUGAUGUGACUCAACGUUUUGGGGAGCUUCCAAAUGAAACUCAAAAUAAAUUAGUUGAGGAAAAUAAGGAAAAUGAAAGUGCUUUUCACUCAGGGGAUAAUGUGGAAAAUUCAAAACAAGCCUAUGAGCGCAAGAAGAAGCAUUGAUUUUGAAGUUGGAUACCUUAAAAUGUGAAGCAAAUGAAUUAAAUGAGAAACUUUUAGCUGUUAGACAAGAGAUUGUAGAAACUGAGGAUGAGUUGUAUUCUCUUGUUGCUGAUAUAUUGAAAAAUGAAGCAUUGGCUAAGAAAAAUCAACAGAAAGAUGAUCAUGCG